CUUUAAUUUCUUUUCUUCCCCUUAAUUAAUUUUGGCAUUGAUCGAUAAUUAGCUACUCACUCAUAAUAAAUACAUCAUUUCAUCUAACACUUCACACAAAUUUCUCCUAAUCCCAUUGCAAAUUUGCCACACACAAUCUUCUUCUUGAUAAAUCAAGCAUGGAGGAAUAUGAUUGCAACACUACUCUAAUGCUCGGCUUCAAUGAUCAUCAAAACGGCCCCAAAAGACACGUUCGCGCUUUUCUCGACCAAGAUAUUAUCGAGUCGAGCUCGAGCCUGAAAAGUCGAGAACACGAGGAGGAAAUCGAUUUUUUCAAAGAUUUUGGUAGAAAGAAACUGAGGCUCACUAAAGAUCAGACCACCUUGCUCGAAGACAGCUUCAAACAACACUCUACCCUUAAUACGGUCUCUCUCCCUCUCUCNNNNNNNNNNNNNNNNNNNNNNNNNNNNNNNNNNNNNNNNNNNNNNNNNNNNNNNNNNNNNNNNNNNNNNNNNNNNNNNNNNNNNNNNNNNNNNNNNNNNNNNNNNNNNNNNNNNNNNNNNNNNNNNNNNNNNNNNNNNNNNNNNNNNNNNNNNNNNNNNNNNNNNNNNNNNNNNNNNNNNNNNNNNNNNNNNNNNNNNNNNNNNNNNNNNNNNNNNNNNNNNCCGCUGGCGCCGCCGCAGCAGCGGCGGCGUUCCUUUAACGAUCACGAGGCGGUGAAGCUUCAGAAGGAUUGACGGCGUCGGAAAUGGUUAUCGGAAUGCAUGGUUAUUUGAAUCAGCCUCGUAGAAGUGGGAUACGGUGCGAUACACUGAAUUGUGGGACAUAUGAUCUCAUCCGAUAUUUUGGCAAUGUGUAUUUUUUUUUUUUGUAAGAAAAUCUUGUGAUGAUAUGAGAUGAAACAUCAUUUUAAGAGGAUUUCGUUUAGUGAAAUAUCAUUAUAUAUUUUUGUGUUUUGUACUCCCUUCGUCCCAGCUGAAAUGUCUUGUUUCUUUUUGGCACGGAGAUUAAGAAAUGUGUAUAAAGUUGAUAAAGUGGGUUGGUGGAAAUUAUUUAAAUAUUAAGUACAGAGAGAGAGUGUAUUGCCAAAAAAGGAAACAAGACAUUUCAAGUGGGACAACCCAAAAAGGAAAACAUGACAUUUCAGCUGGGACGGAGGGAGUAAUACUAAUUCAGGAUCUAAGUAGCAAAAUACGGGUUUUUAAGAAAAAGUGUAUUUUUAUUAGUUGAGUGGAGAAAUGGACCUUCAAUUAAUGUAUUAUUCAUUAGUUGAGUGGAAAAAAAGUGUAUUGUUGAUUCCCUCAAAAAAAAAAAAGUGUAUUGUUUUGGGACCCAUCAAUUAAAUAUAAAUAAAAACUUACUAAAAAUUGAUAGGCCUUGAGUUGGUGGACGUUCCAAAAAGGAAAGAAUGCCUUGAAUUAGUGGACGGAGAGAGUACUAAUAAAAGAUAGAGCCACACUCUCCGCACCCGAGUUCGAUCCGACCCAAGUUCGGCUAGGGUUUGGAUCGGGCGGGACCAAUCUAACCCAAACAAGUCAUGAAUCUUGGAUCAGAAUUUAAAUUGAAUUUAAAGUAGAUUUGGAUCGGAUACAAACCGACUAGAUCCACACAUAGUAAGAUGAAUGCACACUUGUGUUAGGUAUAUACUAAUAAUUGUAACAGUAUAAUGUCUUAUAAUUAUAAAAUAAAAGCACCCGCACAUGGAAUGAGAUUCAGUGUACCACACUUUAUGUUCCACUUUGUGUCACACUUUUAAUUUAAUUUAUUUUUAUAUAUAUUUUUUCUUCAAUUUCAAUUUUAUAUGCUUUAGUUUAAUUUUGUGAAUAUUAACCAGGGUUUAUUCCAUCAAUCUAGGGUAUAUAAUAAUUUAAUUUCACUUUUAUUAGCUAAUGAUAGGUUAUAAAUUCAAAGUCAUGGUAUAUACCUUUUAAAAAUUUAAUUUUUUAAAAUAAAAAUUAAAUAUAAUUCAUAGUAACAUAAUAAAUUUUAUUUUUAUAAUAAAUAUUUUUUAAAUAAUAAAUAUAAGUAUGGGACACAGUAGCACACAUAAAAUUAUGGGACACUGAAUCUCAUCUCCCCGCACAUAAUGUGGAUGCGGUGAAGUGCAUUGAAAUCUUUUUAUGAAAGUUACUCACCUCCUCCCUCAUAUUUAUAUAUACUUUUUUUUUAUAUGUCACUAAAUUUAUGCACAUUUUAUUUUUGGAUAUUAAUUCACACAUAUUUUUCACAAUUUAAUCAUUAUAACUUACAUUAUUUUAUCCAUAAUAUAUUUAAUAAUAUAUUUUUCUCCACUAUCAAUACUUUAAAUAAUUUUUUUUAUCAAAAUCCGUGCUAGAAGUAGUUAAUUAUGCAUAUUCAUGGGGAUGGAGGGAGUGUAUAAUUACAAAAUAAAAAAACAUUUGACCAAAUUGAAAUUUUAAAACCAAAACAUCCAAAUAUUGAUGUUAUCCUAAAAAAAAUUAAACCGACAUCGAGUAUCAGAAUAAUUUAAUUCGAUUUUGGACUAUAGUCCAACCCAAGUUAGUGAGAAGUCCAAUAUAUUAAAUAAAAUCCCACUCUCAGAUAUUCCAAAACCCAACAUUUAUUUUCUCCUACACUUUUUUUUUUCCCUUUUCUUUUACUGACGUUAAUUUUUGGCUCUAUACUGAAAUAACUCUUCCUCUCUUCUCUUUCAAGCACACCUUUCUAUUCCCACCAAAUCUCCUGCUCCUCAUCGAAAAUCUCCACGAAAAUUUGAAUCGGAAUCUGCUGGGAGAAGCAAUGGCGUAUGUGGAUCACGCGUUUUCCAUUUCGUACGACGACGAGCUGAUGGAAACUUCUUACGCCGUCAACAACAGGCCGCCGAUUAGGGAGAUAUCUCUCGCCGUCGCUCUCUUUGUUUUCGGCGCGCUCGGGAUCGUCGUCGGUAUCUUCAUGGCGGUCAAUGAAAUCGGGGGCGACCGCGCUCACGGUAUUUAUUCUUUGCCCCUUUUUUAUGGUUUGGUUCAGUUCUGAUUCAUGGAUUUUGGGAUUUUUCAGCUGCUUUGAUGGUUGUUGUCUUGUUCUUCCUUCUAGACUUAUGCAGAUUUUGUUUUCAGUUUAGUGAGUAGCUGAUAUUUAGUGAUUCGUACUUCAAUAUCUGUAGUGUUGGAUGAUGAUAUUAUUCAGCGAGUUUUAUUGCUUAGGGCAUUGAGAUUUGUGUCGAUACUAAAUGUGGGGGAAGUAGAUAUUAACUGCUAAUGUGUUUUGAUGUAUGAUCUGCCAUUACAAAAUUUGUUGCAAGAGUUUUUACAGUUGUGUGGGGAUUUUGGUUAUUGCAAAAUGCUAGUAUUUAGUUUAUUGCUGGUUGGGGAAGGGAAAGGAUCUAGAAAGAGUACAUAAUCUAUAGUCUAUGGAGCUUUUCUAUUUGGGCCAUUGCAUCCAUCACUGCAGUAACAUACAGAAUUUUCCCUUCCUUCAUAUCCUCCACUAAGAAUUUUUCCUUGGCAGCAUAGUAGUUACGGCACAUGUUUUCCGAUAAACCUUUUCUACUUAGUUCUCAAAUGUUGGCAUCUCACUGGACCUCUCUCUCUCUCUUUGUUAUGUGGAGCAGUUAUGCCAUGUUCUUCCUUAUUAAUCUUGGAUGCUGUAAUGCAGGGCUAUUUUUCUCUGUGUUGGGUGGGAUUCUGUUCAUUCCUGGAUUCUACUACACUCGGAUUGCCUAUUAUGCUUACAAGGGAUAUAAAGGUUUCUCUUUUUCCAAUAUACCUCAAGUCUAGGGAUGUUUGGAAGCUCAACUACUGUAUACUGUAUAUAUAUAUAUAUAUUUUACUUUUCUUGUUACCUUAUUAGUCUCUCUCUCAUAACUCUGCCAGUGACAAUACAAUUUAAACUUAUCAGCUAAUAUACAUGCUUGAGUAUAGUAUUAUUCUCAAGAGAUCUUGUGUCAUUUGAGUUCAAUGUUGUUCCUUUUUCCUUGGAUAUUGGCUUGCUUGUCAUCGGGUGUUCUUGUUGAGUGUGGUUUAUUUCAAUUUUUGUCUAUCUUGCAUAAGUUGGCGACGCUCAUUUAGGGGCACUAAGCAGUAGUAAGCCCUCUUCCUAUCCCUGAGUGAGCUGUUAUGAGUCAUGACUUUUCCCCUACGUUAAGUACUAUAAAUAUGGUGUGAUUCUUAAGUUUAAUUGCAAGAGAGUUUCUUGUUGUUACAAAAAUGUAAGAUCAAGAAGCUUGUCAAAUAUCACAUCCUAUGGAUUUCACUUGCACCCUGACAUAUUUAUGUUUUCAUUGCAUAACAUUCUUAAUUAGAAUUACAUAUUGCAAGACAUGAAAUUCUACAUCAAAUUUUUCUACCACCCCUAUAAACACUAUUGCACAUUGCACUCAACAUUAGGUCCCUGAUGUGCAAUACAACAUAGUAGCUAUAUUCCUCUACUAACAGCUGAAAAAUUCAGACCAAUGAGGUGAAAAUUCCUCUUCAGACUGUAGAAAUCCUGCAUUUUAGCUUCCCUAAUUCUAGACAAUGGUGUCCAACUUCCACCGGAAGUUGCAUUAACGCGAGUUUGAUGAAAGAUUUUAGUGAAAAACACUCUCUUACCUGCUUGUAGGUGGCAUUCAUUAUACAUUCUUUACUCUGCUGUUUUUAACCUGUGGUUUUGCUUCCAUCUGAUUCUGCAUGGCAAGAUGAUAAUUGAGAUCCAAAAAUGCAUGAAAUACAGUGAGUUUGCUUUUAAAGCUUUCAUAUAAAGAGGAUCAUUUGUAUUAAGAUUGUGAAACAGAGUCUUGUUGUGUGUAUGAUUAUCUCAAAAAUGAUGGAUACACCUUUCAAAAUCGUGUUUAUAUUAAGCUAAUUGUAUGUGCAGUGAUGGUACUAUACUCUUCAAAAUUCACACCUAAACCUUACAUAUUGCCAAACCAUACAUUUUUCACUGUGAUUUUUGGGAUAGAAAAUAUAAUGGAAAAAUAACUAUUUAUAAGCAAGGGAUUUAAAUUCUAACCUUAAGCCAUUAGGAUUCUUUGUGGAUCUAAAUAUGGUUAACCCAACAAUCUACAUACUCAUAACAAUCUAAAUAUGGCCAAUAAAAUUAUAUUUUAUUAUGAAAAUGAAUUUAAUUUUUUUUCUUUAGUAAUGGAUUAAUUCGAGAUUUUAGUAAAGGGACGAAUGUAUUGCUUGAUAAUUUAAAUGAAAAUAAAACUCACAUUUUUCAACUUAAUCAUUGACCAAAUAAGUACAAUAAAUUUGUCAUGAUUGUAUAUUUUUUUACACAAGUAAGGAAUAAGAAAAGUAUAAGGUUUUUCCUAUAAAACAAAGCCAGCCCUCAUAUAUUAGAUAUAUCCACUUAAAUUUGAGCAUAAAAUCUAUGUUUUUUUUAAAGUUGAUAUUUUUCAUUACAACUUAACAUUGGACAUUUUUUAUGUAUCAACACGAUAUGAUUAUUCUAUCUGUCUCACUUUGAUAGUUCAUUAUUACCUUUUCACGCAUAUUAAGAAAUUAUAAAUAAUAUUUUACGAAAAAUGGAAUUCAUAUGUAAUUAUUUUAUUUUGUCCCGAUUCAUUGUUCAUAUAUUAUCUUCACAAAUAUUAAAUAAGAUUUUUUUUUAAUGUAAUUCAGAUUUUGAAAAUAAACUAUAUCUGGAAUAUCCAAAAAAUAGGGCGCUAUCAAAAUAAAACGGAGGGAGUAUUUAUAAUUUCCCGAGUGACUUUUAAUAAUAUUAAAACUAUUUCAAGCAAAGAAAAAAUUAACAUCGAUGUUGAAAACCUUUGAAUUCAGAUUCAACGAUGGUCAAGUUGAAAUGAAAGUGGGUUGACAUCCUUUUUGUGGUCAAAACCAAAAGUGACAAUUUGAAAAAUAAAAUAUAAGAAAAUAUUAUACCUAUAUUCUAAUAUAAAAUAGAAAACUUAAAUAUAGCAAUGAUAAGAUAUUUGAGACAAUUCAAUUAGUAAGUCGAUUUUCUCUAAUUAAUAGUUUGAAUCAUUAUAAUAUUGAUUAUAAUGGAGAAUUAUUAUUGAUUAUUUUUAGAAGAAGAAAAAAUUUUGACAGAGAUUUCCAAAUAUAAAGGAAAAAAAAAGAUAUUUAACAGAGUUCAUCCCCAAAAUUUCGUAGUAGACGAAAACAACUUCGGCCCGUACAACAACUGAUGCAGUAUGUACCUACUCUUAUUUCUAGCCCUAAUUAAAAUUGGAAGACCGCUGAUAUUUUUGUGCAGAGUCAGAAAAGCGUUAUCUUCAUUCUUCAACUUCAAUCUUCCAUCACUAUAAAUUUCUCCAACUCUUUAUUUCCAUCCAAAAAUCCCAUUUUGCUGUUGCUUUUGUCUUCGAAGUGAAAAAGCGGUGAAGUGCCAAUCCCUCUGUGUGUGUGUAUUGGUCCAUCUCUUCUGGAGUUUGGCUUCUCAUCCACUCAUUUCCACACAAUCCCGACCCCAAAACCCCCAAAUUUUAACCCCAAUCAUUCACCGCAGUUUCCGCCGAAUUUCCGCUGAUUGCGGUAUGGGGUGAGGAAGUGCUGGGCGUUUCUGAGGUAUGAUGGAGUGGGACAGCAACUCGGAGUCUGAUCUAAGCGGCGGAGAGGAGGACGAGGAGGAGAUUGAGGGAGGAUUAGGGUUUUUGCUGAGGAAGGGAGGCGGCGGGCAGCUGCCGUUCCCCGUCGACGCGCUUCUGCAACCGGCGCCUUGUGGGUUCGUUGUCACGGAUGCUUUGGAGCCCGACCAUCCCAUUAUUUACGUCAAUUCCGUCUUCGAGAUGGUUACCGGAUUUCGGGCCGAGGAAGUUCUCGGGCGUAACUGGUUAGUAAUUUUGGAAUUUCCUAUGUUUGCCUACGCCUACUUUCUAUCAUUUGAUGUGUAGAUGAGGCUUUCUUUUGCGCUGGAAAUUGUUUCUAGAGCUGUGGGUUAUGAUAAUUUUUGGUUGUGUUUAUGGAUGCGGACAGCUGAGGUUUUGAUAUGCGAUGAAUUUGUUUCAUUGGGACAAGAAAAAUUAAGUCAUGGCAGAAAGAAAAAAAAAUGUGGAAUUACGAUAAUCUUAUUUCUUGCUCUGCUAGGAUGUUGGACCCAUUUUCCUCAGUUUCUGCAUUUCAGUUAGGUUGAUGUUUUUCAACUAUGCGUUUUAUUAAUCUUUUAGUCUAGCAGAUAUAUUGUGCCGAAAAGUUUGUUCCUUUUUGUAGUUUUGGCUAUAAAUGAUUAACACCCUUGUGUUAUCAAGUUUUAGGUUUUGGCUAAAUUGGACUUAUAACUUAUGCUAACAGUAUUCGGCACCGUACUUUAUGCUAACAGUAUUCGGUACCGACACCGUAAUAACUUUUGGCUAAAUUGGUUAAUGUAAAAACUACAUUUUAUUGUGAGAACUGAGAAGAGUGCACUGAACGUAUAAAGCUACUGCAUCCACUGGGAAAUUAACUGCACUCGAAAAAUAAAAUAAAAAUCGCCGUCAUGGGAUUUGAAUUCGCGUGGUUUAUUCAUCCAUCAAGGGGAUGCAUCCACCAUAGGCAAUCCAAGGGCUGAAAAUGAUUCUCACGUUCACAUUUUAAAAAAGGGUUAUCAUUUGAACACACACACACACACACAUAUAUAUAUAUACACACACGUACAUAUCUGAUUCCGAUAGAGAAUGGUUGGUGGAGGUUGCAAUUCUAUUAUCUCGUCAGAUUUUUUAGGAGUAGUAGCUACUAAUUUUUCCUUUAAGAACUUUUUAUUUUCGGGACACUUAUUUGACAACUAGGUCUCAAUCUUGUAAGAUUAUAAUCGAGAAGCUGACUUCAUAAAUUUAUGGAAGCUCCUGUGCACUCACCAUCUCUUCUUUGUUUGGUGGGAGGGAUGGGGCUUUCUGGGGGAAUAUACUAGAUUCGUCUGCAAUUUCAAAUGGUUGAAAGAUGUGUUCAUAACAUGUUUUUAAUUUGUUUAUAGAUUCUCCUGAAGCUAUUAAGUAAGUAUUGCUGUUCUUUUUUGACUUUGUUCAAGAAUAGCACUUCUAUUGUAUGUCUAACAUCAACCCUUCUAGGAGCAUUUAUUACAGAGGAGUAGUGCUUAUGAGAAAUUAAUUUGCAAGAUAUUAGGAUCUAAGGAAAUUUUAUUUUGUUGACAAAUUGUGAUCCAGAAAAAUGAGAUCCUGUAGGUAUUUCAGCAAUAUGCAUGUUUCCUUAUUUUCAAACUAGUUAUUAUUACUAGGAACCGUCUUGUAUUACCUUCUUUAGGGUGAUUAUUGUGCUGUCAUAGUUUGUAGAGGGGACUCAUUUGUAGGCACAAUAUAGCUAUUGAUUAUAGAUAUCUGGGUUAGGAGAACGCAUGAUAAAUGUUUGAAUUACUUUUUCCAUGUUAGAUGUUGGCAAGGGACUGUGUUUUGUCUGAUAACGUUAUUUUUUCUACUUUGAGAUAGUUUUUACUUUAUGUAUUCCGUCAGAAGGUCAAAGGAUGAUUUCAGGUAUAUUGGUAUCACUAUAAGUAGAAUUCUUUUCGUUCAUGUAGUCAUGUACAAAGAAGUUGAAUGAGAUUUUUUCUCCUUUCCCUUGUUCUCUUUCAUGUGUUAAUACACGUACUUGGCAAUUCUUACUUUGAGUCUAUUAUUGCUGGAGUAGACAGGAGGAUUAGCUACACAUUGUAUUAGUAAUGUAUUUCCGAUGGUUUACUUAUGUCAUGAUUGUUCUGGAUUGCUGCAGCCGUUUCAUGCAAUGCAGAGGUCCGUUUGCAAAGAGAAGGCAUCCCCUUGUGAGCUCCACAGUAGUUGCUGAAAUAAGAAGAUGCCUCGAGAAAGGUGUUGAGUUUCAAGGAGAACUGUUAAAUUUCAGGAAAGAUGGAUCCCCACUGAUGAACAUGUUACGUAUGACCCCAAUCUACGGUGAUGAGGAUACGAUAACACAUGUAAUUGGCAUACAACAUUUUAUAGAAGCAACUCUUGAUCUGGGUCCCCUUCCUGGAUCUUCAGCCAAGGAAUCUGCUAGAGCAUCUGAAAGGUUAAGGUUUAACAUUUCUUCUCGUGGAGUGGUUUCAGGAGAUAUCAGAAACGUCAGUCGUGGGUUAUGUGGAAUAUUCCAGUUGAGCGAUGAAGUAAUCGCUCUCAAGAUUCUUUCUCGACUUACUCCAAGGGAUAUUGCAUCAGUUGGCUCUGUCUGUCAACGGUUUUAUGAGCUAACAAAGAAUGAAGAUCUUUGGCGAAUUGUCUGUCAAAAUGCAUGGGGUAGUGAAACCACGAGGGUCCUCGAGAUGGUGCCUGGCGCUAAAAGAUUAGGCUGGGGUAGGUUGGCUAGGGAACUCACAACUCUUGAAGCUGCAGCUUGGAGAAAAUUAACAGUCGGAGGUGCAGUGGAACCCUCACGUUGCAACUUCAGUGCAUGCGCUGUUGGGAACCGUGUGGUGCUUUUUGGUGGCGAAGGUGUCAACAUGCAACCGAUGAACGACACCUUUGUAUUGGACCUGAACUCCACUAAUCCAGAGUGGCAACACGUGAAAGUGAGCUCUCCACCUCCUGGGCGUUGGGGUCACACGCUUUCGUGCGUGAAUGGUUCUCAUCUCGUGCUGUUUGGUGGUUGUGGGAGACAAGGUCUACUCAAUGACGUCUUCGUGUUGGACUUGGAUGCAAAACACCUUACGUGGCGUGAAAUCUCAAGCUUGGCACCGCCACUUCCUAGGUCGUGGCAUAGCUCUUGCACCCUCGAUGGUACCAAGUUAAUAGUGUCUGGUGGCUGUGCGGAUUCGGGUGUGCUUUUAAGUGAUACCUUCCUACUCGAUCUAUCGAUAGAGAAACCAGUGUGGCGAGAGAUACCCGUAACAUGGACUCCUCCUUCGCGUUUGGGCCACACGCUAUCGGUUUAUGGCGGAAGAAAGAUCUUGAUGUUCGGAGGUCUUGCCAAGAGUGGUCCUCUCCGGUUUCGAUCUAGUGAUGUUUUCACCAUGGAUUUGAGUGAGGAUGAGCCUUGUUGGAGAUGCGUCACCGGGAGUGGAAUGCCUGGAGCCGGAAAUCCAGGUGGCAUGGCGCCCCCUCCUCGACUCGAUCACGUGGCUGUGAGUCUCCCCGGUGGCAGAAUCCUCGUGUUCGGUGGCUCCGUUGCCGGCCUCCACUCUGCUUCCCAGCUCUACAUACUUGAUCCCACCGAGGAGAAGCCAACGUGGAGGAUCCUAAACGUCCCCGGACGGCCUCCUAGAUUCGCCUGGGGACACAGCACGUGCAUCGUUGGAGGAACGAGAGCUAUCGUCCUCGGAGGCCAGACCGGGGAAGAGUGGAUGCUGAGUGAGAUUCACGAGCUCUCGCUGGCGAGCGCCGUCGUAUGAUCCUCCUAAAACUGCGCUCGUUACGGAUUCUUUCGUGGCUUUCAUGAAAUCAACCACCGUUUUCCGGAGGCCAUUCCUUCAUCGUCGACGUGCUCGAUGUCGAUCUACGACGCUCGUCGGAAUCAGUAAGCCCUAUCGGAAACUAUACUUGAAUUUCUUUCUUGCUCUCUCUCUCACUCACUCUAGGCUGCUAGACUUGGUAGAAAUUUGUAGGGUAACCCACACAUAUAUAUAGGUUAGCUACAUCAUGUUUGUGGUGUUUGUGCGUUUAAGUUGAAACUUGCGAGAGACACAACCAAACAAAUAGAGAGGAAAAAAAUAACCAAAAAAAGAAAUUAGUGUUGGCUUGUGUGUAUGAUUUACAGUGAUGUUUAUCUUUUUCUUUCCUUGUAAUGUUCAAUAAUUUUUAUUUUUAUUUUUUUNGAGAAUUAAUGUUCAAUAAUUUUAUGUUAGAGUAUUUUUGCUCCGCCGCCUCCGGCGGUGUUAUGGUGGUGGGUUUCUGUAGAUGGAGCUGUGGAAGUUUUUUCAGACAUUUUCCUUUUUUUCUUCUUAUUUUUUAUAAAAAAAAUGGAAUAAAUAUAUCAAGAAAAAAUAUGAAUAAUUUCGUUUUCGUUCUUUUUUUUAAUUAGCUUUCUAGCAUUUCUCUCAUGCGAUGCAAAAAUAGUGAUUGUACUGAGUUAAAGAAAAAGAAAAAUUCAAAGGGUAUAAAUUUAGGAAUAUUUCUUUGUGCAUGAUAUAAAAUUAUCGACAAAUUGUAUCAAUAGUUUAAAGUGAAAUAAACAAAAUAAUUAAUUGCAGUGACAUUUGUCAACUUUCAUAGUAGAGUGUUAUUGCAAUUAAAAUUUAUUAGUACUAUCAUUUUAGUAAUUUUUCGUUAAAAAAAAAAACAUUUAACUUUAUAUUCGUGAAUAUAUUCGCGAUCAGGUUCACGAAUAAUGCUCACAAACAUAUUCGAGAACAUGUUUACGAGCUUACAAGUCGAACAUGUUUAGGUUCGAGUUUAGCUCAAUAAUUUUACUGGGCUCGUUUUUAGACUCGAGUUCGAAUUCGACUCGUUUAGAAGACGAUGGAUUUGACCAAUUUUUUUGGAUUAAGCUUUAAAUAAUUUGCGAGCGAAUUGAUUCGUUUACACACUGGCCGGCAAAAUAAUUUGGGCCAUGACUCCCCUUUUAUAUAUAUAGACAUAGACAUAUAUUUUGGUUAUUGUUGGGCAUGUGCAUCAUGCUAUGACCUGCAAAUUUGUCUUACUCAUAUAGAUCGAAACAUUUUUUUUUUCUUUUGAGGGGAGAUUGAAACAUUUUUUUUUUUGAAAGUAGAGAUUGAAACAUUUGUUUGCUUUAAAAUUGCAAUAAAAUUGCCCUUAGUGGCAAAGUUAAUUCGAAAUAGCUUUACUGUCACAUUUAAUAACGUCGGGCACGUGACUAUCAGCCAUUUAAUAACGUCGGGCACGUGACUAUUGUCACAUUCACAUAUUAAUUUCAAACUUCAUAGUAUUAAAAUGAGAAUAAGGUAUUUAUCUAUUUUUCAACCUUAUAAAAUUCUCAUUUCCAAUUAAACUUUCAAAUGAAAAGAUUCUACUACAACAAUAGUUCUUAUAAAAACAUCCAUGAUGUCAAUGAGGUAUUGCUUUAGUGACAAAGUUAAGGCACUCAAACACUCUCAUUUGAGAGGUCUUGAAUUCAAUCCCACAUGCGUGCGGUGAUGUGUUCCCAUUUUAUAUGGUGUUGUAUUCUCGCCUGCAUGCGGUAUUGUAUUGUUUGGUGUUGAGGUUUCCACACGCAGGACGUUUCUCGCCUGUAUGCGGUGAUGUUUUUCCAUCGUUGGGUGGCGAUGAGGUCCCGCUUGCGUACGUGUUGCAUAAUUGAUUAUAUUCAUAUACCUCUUGUAAUUUUCAAAAAAAAAAAAACAUUACAUGAUAAAUAUAACAUUGUUUAUUCCAUUUUAAAUAUUUUUAACAAUAUAUACAAUUUAUGUGCGUUCACUUUUUGAAUAUCGUAAAUUAAUUUAUAUUUUUUUGAGAAAAUCUAAAAUGUCGAGCGUAUCGUGAAUAAAAUAAUAUUUUAAUUAGUUUGAGAUCAAUUACUUUANUUCAGACAUUUUCCUUUUUUUCUUCUUAUUUUUUAUAAAAAAAAUGGAAUAAAUAUAUCAAGAAAAAAUAUGAAUAAUUUCGUUUUCGUUCUUUUUUUAAUUAGCUUUCUAGCAUUUCUCUCAUGCGAUGCAAAAAUAGUGAUUGUACUGAGUUAAAGAAAAAGAAAAAUUCAAAGGGUAUAAAUUUAGGAAUAUUUCUUUGUGCAUGAUAUAAAAUUAUCGACAAAUUGUAUCAAUAGUUUAAAGUGAAAUAAACAAAAUAAUUAAUUGCAGUGACAUUUGUCAACUUUCAUAGUAGAGUGUUAUUGCAAUUAAAAUUUAUUAGUACUAUCAUUUUAGUAAUUUUUCGUUAAAAAAAAAAACAUUUAACUUUAUAUUCGUGAAUAUAUUCGCGAUCAGGUUCACGAAUAAUGCUCACAAACAUAUUCGAGAACAUGUUUACGAGCUUACAAGUCGAACAUGUUUAGGUUCGAGUUUAGCUCAAUAAUUUUACUGGGCUCGUUUUUAGACUCGAGUUCGAAUUCGGCUCAUUUAGAAGAUGAUGGAUUUCGACCAAUUUUUUUUGGAUUUAAGCUUUAAAUAAUUUGCGAGCGAAUUGAUUCGUUUACGACACUGGGCCGGCAAAAUAAUUUGGGCCAUGACUCCCCUUUUAUAUAUAUAGACAUAGACAUAUAUUUUGGUUAUUGCUUGGGCAUGUGCUAUCAUGCUAUCGACCUGCAAAUUUGUCUUACUCAUAUAGAUCGAAACAUUUUUUUUUCUUUUGAGGGGAGAUUGAAACAUUUUUUUUUUGAAAGUAGAGAUUGAAACAUUUGUUUGCUUUAAAAUUGCAAUAAAAUUGCCCUUAGUGGCAAAGUUAAGCAUUCAAACACUCUCAUUUGAGAGGUCUUGAAUUCAAUCCCACAUGCGUGCGGUGAUGUGUUCCCAUUUAAUGGUGUUGUAUUCUCCCUGCUGCGGUAUUGUAUUGUUUGGUGUUGAGGUCCCACACCAGGCUUUCUCGCUGAUGCGGUGAUUUUUUCCAUCGUUGGGUGGCGAUGAGGUCCCGCUGCGUACGUUUGCAUAAUUGAUUAUAUUCAUAUACCUCUUGUAAUUUUACAAAAAAAAAAACAUCCAUGAUAAAUAUAACAUUGUUUAUUCCAUUUUAAAUAUUUCUUACAAUAUAUACAAUUUAUGUGCGUUCACUUUUUGAAUAUCGUAAAUUAAUUUAUUUAUUUUGAGAAAAUUUAAAAUUAUUGUCUUGAGCGUAUCGUGAAUAAAAUAAUAUUUUAAUUAGUUUGAGAUCAAUUAGUUUAAGAAAGAAACAAUUCCAAGAUAUUUAUAAGAUUAAAAAAAUAGAUAAAUAUUUUAAUUAUAAGGGGAUAUUGUUUAAAUUAUAUGAAUAGAUAUAGAAAAUAUUUGAUCAAAUAUAGAAAAUUAAGAAGAAAAAAAAAAACAUGGCUGCGUUAAUUUCUUUUGUAAAAUAAAUGAAUAGAAAAACUAUUGUUAUCAAUAUAUACAAACAUAUACGCAACAUGGAAACAUGCCAAGGAAGAUACAUUGUCUACUUGAUAGUGAUUUACUUAAUAAUAUCAAUUGGUUCAAGUAACUUAUUGAGUGUGACGUGUGUGCUCAAAAUAUGAAUAAAAAUAUUAUAUUACGAGGAUAAUAAUAAUAUAUUGCUAUAUUUUCCAGAGAGAUGCAAUUUUUUUAUUGAAAUGAAUAAGAAAUUCAACAUGCAAAUGAAAAAAAAAAAUGUGACAAGAGCAUUAGAAAAAGAGAGAUUUUGAAAGAAAGAAAAUAAGCGAAAUAAUCGCACGUAAAUGGUUUUAAAAGAAAAUGUGUCAUGUUAUACAAGAAAUUAAGAAGAAGGUGUAAAUCAAAUAAAACAAUAUUAUAUUUUAUGAAAAUGAAUAAUUUUUAGUGCGAUGACCUAAAAUAAAAAUACGGAUAAUUUUUAAUGAGAUAAAUAAAGUAUUGUUUUUAUUCUAAUAAGAAAAGCAAAAUUAUAAGUUAGUAGCCCAUAAAAACAAAAUUAUAAGUUUGUCGAGCACAAAAAAUAAGAAAAAUAAGAACAAACAAAUUAGAGUUAUACGUGUCAAAAAUUACAAAGAAAUCACAAUUAAAUGGAAAAUAUACUUCGUAUGAGCUUUGAAUUAGUUUGCGUAACAAAAUGAGUUUGUGUCCCUAUUGUAUCCACUUAUCAACGACACAUAAUUUCGUGUCGGGUUCGUGUAACUCGUUAUAAUUAAUACGCUCAUUUUUUUUAACACAGAAAUUAAGAAAAUUUACUUUUUAGUAGAAAAAUUGUGUGGUCCAACACCAAUUAAGUACACAUUUUUUACUUAAAAUGGAAAACGAGCCUAUUAGAGUGAGACAUCCCAAAAAAGAAAACGAACCUAUUAAAAUGGGAUGAAGGGAGUAUCAUUAUUUUUAUUAAAUAUAUAUUAGUAUUUUAAUUCUUAUUUUAGAGUUAAAUUUUUUACUUUUUGAAGUUCCAUCCUUUUGUUCCGUAGUAAAGAAACACAAAAUUCACAUCCUUUCAUAUUUAUUUUAAUUAUUAUUUUCAUCGUACCCUUGCCGGGUCUUGUUUAAUCAGUUUUUUACUAGAUCGUGUCGUUUUUGUGCCAUGUCAACACGAUUCAAGUCGUGUUGCUACCGUGUUCGUGUUUGUGUCGAACAUCGUACUCGUAUUUAAUUUUACCGUAUCAUAUCGAUCCGAUAACGACCCAACACGCACGAUUUUACAAUCCUGGCCCAAAUUAGGAAGGUGAUUUUUUUUUGGAAAAUUAAAAAAGAAAAUCCAAAUUUUAAUUUGGAAUCUCUUAUUAUUAAGAUUAAUUUUUGACUUUAGCAGUCCCAAAAUUAUUUUCCUAUCUGUCCAUUCAAACAAAAUAGUACAAAAAUAUAGGGUCUAUAAAUGGGCACGAGAAUAAUUCCACUACAAUGUAGGGUCUAAGAUUUAUCAUUUUUUUAGAUGCUAUAUAAUAAUUCUACAAAAAUAUGUAUGUCGCGAUCUAAAUACUGAGUAAUUAUUCCGGCAAGCUGCAGCAGAUGAUUUAGCGUUGGUGAAAGAAUUUGCUACAAAGUGUUCAACAUGCAACCAAGCUGCCUUUCUCACUCUUCCCUCUUCUCUUAGAGAGAGAGAGAGAGAGAGAGUGAAGAGAUAUUGUUCACUGUUUCAAACUUCAGCCGUUGGUGAGGUCUACCGAUUCUUAAUUCAAGAAAUGGAGUCCAUGCUAAUUGGGUCUUUCCAGAAACCUUCGCUUUCGCUUCCCUUUGCAGCUGAGCUAUGCUCGCUUCCUAAUGGUACAUGCGGAUUUCCUCGUUUUUUCAUUAAUUGAAUAAUUGUUUUGGCGGCGGAAGAGCUAUGGGUUUGGUGAAUUAAGUCUUUUUCCCCCUUUUGCUCAAUUUCUCUGUCCAAUUUUGAUUCCGAUUAUUACUGUUGCGUUCAUUAAUGGCGUAUGGGCUUUUCUUGUCCCCCCAAAUAAAUAAAUAAAAUUGUUUCUUUGGAAUUUGUGGGAUUUUGUGGGAAUUUGUGGGUUUAGACCGUAAUUUUCAGUGCUCAUUUCUUAUCUUUUUAUAGAAUCAGAUGCCAUUUUCCAGUUCUUGCGGGGUUGGCUACAUGAUUUUUUGUUGAUUUAUGCGACCAUCUCACAAAAAGUGACUUAAAAUCUUGAAUUUUUUUGUACCACCUUUAUCCGUGUUUUCGAUGGUUUACUUCCCUCUUUCGACCUCUUUUUGCAGUAUACUUACAUGUUUUCACAAUAUCCAUCUUCAUAUUUGAGCAUGGUAUAGAUGGCGCCACAACACUUCGAAAUUUGGAUAGAUGCAAUAAGUGGCAUUUCAAACUCUGAUUUUGAGCUACAAUCGGUUCUUUUGUAGCAGGGAAUCAUUUAAAAUGCAAAGCUUUCAGCAAUGUAGGAAGGAUCUAUGCCGUAUCAGAGAGGUUAUGUGUGCGGAGGCAAAAUUUGGUGCACCAAUCUGUCAAAAAUAUCACCCAAAGAAGAGUUACACUAAAUCCCAAGGGGGAUUCGAAGUAUGUAGUAAAUUCAGCUUCAGGGCAUUCUCUUGAAUCUGAACCUUCUAAGAGCCCUUUGGGUCCCUUGCAUCAAGGCUUAGAUGCUUUCUACAGGUUUUCACGGCCUCAUACGGUUAUAGGAACAGUUAGGUUACAUGAUUCUUGUUUUAUCUUUCAGCGAACAUGGUUUUCAUCCUUCAAGCUGGUUUUUCUAAUUUAAGUUUCUCAUGCUCUCUUCCCGUGAGCAGGCACUGAGCAUCGUUUCAGUUUCUCUCCUUGCGGUCGAGAAACUAUCAGAUUUUUCUCCAUUAUUUUUUGCUGGCUUGCUAGAGGUAUGGUGUAGUCUUUUGUCGUUAGUUGUCAUUAUAGUAAGUCUAUCGAUUCUAACCCAUGCACUAUGCUGUAUUUUGCAGGCAAUUGUUGCUGCUCUGUUGAUGAAUAUUUAUAUUGUUGGUUUAAAUCAAAUAUCUGAUAUAGAAAUCGACAAGGUUGGCUUCCAGAUAUAUUAUGAAACCAUGUCUGCUUAUGAGAAAAUACUUUUUCCGUCCUCUCUUAAAUCUGGAUUUUGAUUUGACAAAAAGAAAUAAACAAUGAAAGAAUAAGGUUAUACCUAGGUUCAAGAGUAUUUCAUUGUUUAACGCUCUGGAAUAAAGCCUGUGCCUUUUGAUUGGUAAUAUGGAGUGAUGGUAGUAUUUGAAUCGGCCUUGAUUAAACUACAAAGAUGAAAUGAGCUGUAUUUUCUUGGAUAAUUUUCAUGUAUCUGCUGCCCUCUUAGCUCGAAGGAUGAGCUUCUUCUCUAAACCAGGACUAGCGGCUCUAGUUAAAUGGGCGGAUCUGUUCUCUAUCAAGAUUGUUCAAACCCAAUCAAGGCUCUGGUACUUGUACUUUUAUAGGCUGAAAUUUCAUAAUUGCCCAAAUCUCAAUACAAUUCCUUUGUAUUUUCUGUCUUGUGGUUGUUGAGCUCACUUGACGAUGAUAUAAAAGGUAUAAAAUCUAGUUAAAUCAUGUCUGUGCUGUCCUUUUAGCUUCGAGAAUAAGCUUAUUUAAAAGGGGACUGACAGUUGUAGUAAAUGGGUGGAUCAUUUUCUAUCAAGAUUGUCAAAAUCCGGUAGAGGCUCAUGUGCUGGUAGUUUUGUAGGCUAAAACUUCAUAUUUGAUGCUCAAAUCUCAAAAUGAUAUAUUUCUAUUUUCUAUCUUCUGGUUUUUGAGCUCACUGUGCGAUGAUAUUAGGUACAAACAUAGGUUGAACUAGAACCAUCACUGCUUUACGGCUGCAAAAGCUUUUAAAUGUUUAGUUCUUCCGUUACCAUUAGUAACUGUGUGUGUUGCAAUGUGCUUUUGUUAUUGGUGAAAUUUUUAUUAAUUCUUUUGCGUCCAUAUCUUAAAUAGUGUUGCCCACUUUAGAUGAAAACUUGACACGAAGCCCAUGUCAGGUGAACAAACCUUACCUUCCGUUGGCAUCUGGAGAAUAUUCAGUCAAAACUGGUGUAAUGAUCGUAUCAUCCUUUGGCAUCUUGGUGCGUAAAUGGAUUCUACUUAGUUUGCUUAUACUAGUCUUGUUUAUUCCAUCCAACAUCUUGACGAACUAAAAAAUUGCUGCUUUCCCAUUCUCAGAGUUUUUGGCUUGGAUGGAUUGUUGGUUCGUGGCCUUUAUUUUGGGCCCUCUUCAUCAGCUUCAUGCUUGGAACUGCGUAUUCUAUUGAUGUAAGUUGGUUUUUAAUGCAUAUUUGUCAUUCAUAUGUUUUAUGGCAUAUAAGCAUACAUUUCUUUGCAGGUACCGCUUUUGAGAUGGAAAAGAUUUGCCGUAGUUGCAGCUAUGUGCAUCUUUGCCGUGCGCGCAGUGAUCGUGCAAAUAGCUUUCUAUUUGCACAUCCAGGUGAUGAUUUUACGUGUUGCAGUUUUUUUCUUUUCACUAUGUAAUUAGUUUGUCUACUUCUGAUAUCAUAUAAGCCCCUGUUCUUUUCCAACAGCGUAUUAUCUAUGCUCGUCAUUUUUGUGUCAAUCAUAUCCUUUAAGGAUGGGAGUUUACUUUGAGUGAUAGGAUAGAUUGAUAAAGCAUAAGAUUUGAGUAUUUGAAGGAUAAGAUGGUCAAAUAAGCUCGAACUUAAACAAUCCAUCAAAGUAAAUGAUAGAUUAGCUUGGAUUAUUUUUUUCUAUCCAUCCUAUAAAUGCCCUCUAAGCGUUUUCAGUAGUGUAAAUUUUUCAGUCUCCAACAUCUUCAGAAUUUGUUAUCUGAAAGUUCAUUAUUCAAGUGUAGGUGUAUAUAUCUAUAUCUAUUCCACUAUCCAAAGCAGGAAUUUCAAGCUCCGAUUCUAAGGGCUGAAUGAAUUAGAAUAUGAAAUAGUUCCCUUUUUACAAUUACCUAAAUCUGUAACCAAAUUCAAGUGCAAAUUAAAGCCUGAUAUGCAAAUUAAAAUAUCGAUAGAAGACUUGCACAAAAUGAUGGACUCAAGUUUCUUGGCUUAAGUUUGAGGGAUAGAAAGUAACACAAAUAUUGUGGCCACAGUAGAGGAGGUCUGAGAGGCUCUUGUUCCUUAUGGUGUCCAUCUCCGUAUAAUUAUUUGGUAUCGUAUCAUGUGCUUCUUUAAUCCACAUAUGAUUUAAUGCGCCUUCCAUUUCCAGACGUAUGUGUUUGGACGACCAGGCAUACUCACAAAGCCUGUGAUUUUUGCAACUGCAUUCAUGAGCUUCUUCUCUGUCGUCAUUGCGCUGUUUAAGGUUUGAAUUUCUUUUCGAUAUUGAUAUCUAAGUCAAGGAUUAUUUAGUGGUUCUUUCACAUAAGAACAAGAAACAUGAACCCAAUUGUUCUAAAUUUUGAAGUGUGGUUUAUUUUGCAAUAAAUGAGAUGAUAUCUGAAACUUAUGCAUAAGUCAUAUGUUAGAGACCUUAUGUAUUUCUAAUGUGAAACAAUUGGUGAUCGUGUGUGUGUGUGUGUGGUAUUCCGCUGCAAAGGAAAGUGGAAAUUUAUCCGUUGACUUCACAAUUCCAUGUUUAUAGGAUAUACCUGAUAUUGUUGGGGACAAGAUAUACGGAAUUCAAUCAUUUACAGUCCGACUGGGCCAAGAGAAGGUUAGUUAUCAGUUACUGCCAACUUUGUUUCUCGCCCAAGCAUUAUAUAUGGGACUUUUCUGGGUUUAACUUAGUUGAAAUCUUCGUGGUAGGUUUUCUGGAUCUGCAUUUCACUUCUUGAAAUGGCAUAUGCCGUUGCAUUGUUUGUCGGAGUUACAUCUUCUUGCACAUGGAGCAAGUGGGCCACGGUAAGCCAGUUUUCGCCAAUGGUUUUGUUCUUAUUUAAGGGUUGACCAAAUGAUAUGAUACCACUGGAACGGGCCAAUCUGGACUCGGAAUGAUAAAAAAUGGCAAAUGACUCAUUGCUCUCUCGUUGCCAUUGCUUUUAGCUCGUUGGUCAUACCGUGUUGGGUUAUCUGCUCUGGAGUCGUGCAAAAUCUAUCGAUUUCAAGAGCAAGACAGCAAUAACAUCCUUUUAUAUGUUCAUAUGGAAGGUAAUCCCCUUUUUAGAAACAGGUUGCUUUUUUUACUAUCAAUUCAAGAUUUCCAAGUGCUGCUCAAGUAUGCAUCUGUUCUUGCGUUAUCUGGUUUCACGACUCGCUCGACAUGAUCCCAGUUUUCGAGCUGUCGUUGAAAAUUGUAUUAUUCUCUCAGACAAUUGUUGAUGAGACUGUUUUCUAGUCCUACCUUCGAAAACGAAGCGGAUUUUUUCCGACUAAAAUUUAAGCAGAUCUGUGACCUCUUCUUCUGCUGUGCAGCUCUUUUAUGCUGAGUAUCUGCUCAUUCCUCUGGUCCGGUGAUCUCGGGUUCGUCGUUUUUUAUGGCAACGGCGACGGAUGGCCGACGCUUGUUAGACUUAUGAUCUUCAUUUGGUUACCAUUUUUAGGCUAUUCCUAAUUUCUACUCUGUUGGUGAUGAACAUAUUCAAAAGAACAUUAAAACCACUUAUUUAAUUAAUUUCCUAGUGUUUUUUCCAAAUUUAGUAUCUCUUACUUUUGAUUUUUAAGAUUGGAUUGGAGUUGAUGAAUCUGAUUGGAGGAAGUGUUUCACUCUUGGUUUUUUCACUUUUGUUAGUUCAAAUGCAAUAAUCUUGUUUCUGUGAAUAAUAUGACUGGUCAUGGACCUCAUGGUUCUAAUUCAAAUACAUCCAACACUUUGCUUCAAUAUAUAUAUAUAUAUAGAGGAGAGGUUCAAAUAAGAACCACUAAUAAAAUAAGAACGGAGAACCAUUUUAAGUCAUUCGAUCAUCAAGAUCUAUGGUGGAUGCAUCAUCUUGGUGGAUGGAUGCAGGUGCUGGGUUCGAAUCCUGAAGGGAGCAAAAACAUUAUUUUUUUUGGAUGCAUUAAAUUUAAUAGCGGAUGCAUUAAUUUGUAUAGCAGAUGCAGUAAUUUUAUUGGUUCUUAUGUUCUCACGAUAAUUGUGGUUCUCACUAUAACCGCACCCUAUAUAUAUAUAUAUAUAUACUAUAUAUAUAUAUAUAUAUAUAUAUGAACUACUUUUGUGUAUUUGUUAAUCUUAUUUAGAUGAAUCUACAGAUAUAAAAAAGCAGAAUAAAUAAUCAUAAAAUAUUCGGUAAAUGGUAAAAUAUUUAAUAAACAUAAAUAAAAUUAUCAGAAUAUUAAUAUAGAUAAGAUUUAUGAUCAUAUGUGGAUUUUUAACAUAUGUAUUUAUUUAUUCUUUCUUUCAUGAACAUUUAGUCAACCAAGUAUGAAAUAAAUUUUGAACAUUUAAAAUUAAUCAAGUUGCUAAAAUUUAUAUAAUAUAUAAUAACGAUUGCAUAUAAUUUUAAUUAGUAACUUUUUGUUUUCAAUUAUUUUUCAUAUAUAACUUUUUAAAAUUAUAUGUAUAAAUUACAUAAUAAUUUUGAAUUAAUAAUUAAUAAUGAAUGUUACAAUGACAUAACUCUUGAUAAUAAAUUAAUUUUAAUAGUUUAAUUAAAUGUUAUAACUUCUAUAGUGACAUGCAAUAAACUUAAGAAUAUUUACUUAUAUACAAUCAAUAAUAAAUUUUGUUAUAUAAAUGAUAUAUUUCAUACAAUAAAUGUGUGUGUGUAUAUAUAUAUUGAUUUUAAUCUAUAACAGAUACGAUAUUAUAGCCAAUAUAUGUUCAUUAUUUUAAUUUGAUAUAUAUCUAUAUAAUAAUAUAACAGGGACAAAAACAUCAAAUGAAAAAAAAAUUGAGAAUGAAGAAGAAUAGAUAAUUUUCAAAAUAUUUGAAUUGUAGAACGCCACAUAGCAAACCUUAUUUCCCUAUUAUUAUAUACCAUAUAAAAUAAGAUAAGAUUGACCCACCAAUGAUAUUACAUAAAUUAUUACAUGUGGUAUUAUUUGAGGAUGAAGAUAGUAAAUUUUAGGUAGAAAAAUAACUCCUAUAACGUGAUUGUAAACAUAGGAUGAUAUCACGUUAUUCCAUAUUUCGAUAUAUACAUGAUAAUAAUAUGGAUACAUUAAUGACUUUUAUUAUGUAUAAAUAUCAUACUUACUAUUUAUCGUAAUUUCUAAUAAUUUAUUUGCUUUUAAACUUUUAAUAUUUAUUCACAAUCAAAUAUAUAUUUUUUUUCUAACACGAUUUUCAAGCAGUACUUCAAAGGAGUAUAAAAUUUAAAACAUUCAGCGGUAAUAAUUUGCUUAAGCUUUUUUUUUUUAAAACUAAAUGUUUUCGUUGAUAUAUUAAUGGCACUUAAUUAUUAUAAUAUGAAGUUUCAAACCUAUGUUGCAUAGGUACGGAGGUGCGGAUGCGGGGGCGAUACGAUACGAGUUCGACUAUAAUAAAGAAUAUAAGUCAAAAUUAAAUAAUUAUUAUAUAUAAUUAAAAUUAAUGAGAUAUAUAUAUAUAUAAUUAAAAAAUAUAUAUAUAUAUAGAGCGAGAGUAGGUUACCUGCUUGGGCGGCGGCGGCGGCGGCGGCGGCGAAGCAGCAGCAGGCAGGGGAGGGGGGGGGUGGAUUUUCGUGUGUGUGUGCGGCGCAGAAACUGAAAAAAGAAGGAACCCGCUGCCCUAUAUUUAAACGGUUAUCGACGGCAAAUGCCGCCGCUAGCUAGCGGCGGCAACUUNUAUAUAUAUAUAUAUAUAUAUAUAUAUCUAGAGAGAGAGUUAGCGGUGGGGCGUCGGCGGUGGCGGCGGCGGCGGCGGUCGGACCGGAAGCAGCAGCAGCGGCAGCAGGGGAAGAGGGGAGGGGGGGUUUUGCGGCGCAAAACUGAAAAAAGAAGGGAAUACCGCUGCCCUAUAUUUUAACAAUUACCGACGGUAAUUGCCGCCGCUAAUUAGCGGCGGCAAUAUUGCCGCGUUAAUAUAUAAAUUAUACUAUGCGAAUUUUAAAAUUAACGGCGGCGUCACCGCCGCUACCUACCGGCGGCAAUUUUGCCGUCGGUAAUUGGCCGGUGAUUGCGAAAGUUCGGGUCGCCUGAAAUGCCGCCGCCGUGCCGCCGUUACCUACCGACGGCAAAAUCGCCGCCGGUAAUUUUCGCCGGUAAAUACGCGUUUUUUUGUAGUGUUCGAGGAUACGGAUUUUUAAAUAUUAUAGGGUGCGAUUCGGAGGAUACAUCUAAUUAUUAAAAUUUUAUGAUAUAUAAUGCUUAUAAAAUAUAUACAAUUUAAAUUUUCUUAAAUUAAUUACAUGUGUAAUUUGCAUUUUAUUUUACCUAAAAGUUAAGCAUUUUCAAUUAUAUAAGUUAAUUGAGCAACAAUAUAACAAUUCAAAUAUUAUUAGUCCAAUAUAUAAGUCAUAACUGAAAAUAAAAUUAUCAAAAUAACCUUGUGUAGGCCUUUCGUGCACGAGAUACGUGAAUUUCGCCUAUGGAAUUUGCGAAUCCGAUUUAUUUUUAUAAAUUGUUUUAAAAGAUACGCCGCGUGGCGAAUCGGGUGCGAAUCCGACGAGAAUCGCACCCUAAAAGAAUCGGAUUCGCCGUACAUGCUAAUUUUUGAAGAAUCUGUUCAUCAUAGUUUCAAACUCAAACAUGGCUGCUACCGACAAUUUACUAAUUUGACAAAGAUAAUUGCAAUAAUGUUACAUGUUUAAGUCAUCAUUAUCGAUUGAAGUCAAUUAAUAGUAAUGCCUAACCUAGCUCGAUCUUUCUUUUUUUUUUCUGAAUUUUUAUUUAUACCUUCAUUAUGUAUAUUCUUGACGUAAUGCGUUUAAUUUGAUUCGAAAUCAAAUAUAUUAACAAUUAAUCAUAUAAAUAAAUAAAAUGUAGGUUUUGAAAAUUUAUAAUGCUAUUUAUUAGGCUAAAGAUUAUUUUUAAAAAUUAGAGGGCGUGUACCGAGAUUUAAUUAUCUGCUUCAAUAAUUCAAUUAUUAAUGUAGUCAAUGCUAAUAUUCCUUCUAAACAAUGUCUCAUAAUAGAGGAAAUUAAUGUAAACUAAUUCGUUGAUAAUGUUGGUAUUCUGUGGUGGCUUUACUUCCAGAUAGCAAUAGUCCUAAUUAAUAUUUUAGGUAUUUCAUUUAUUUUAUUGAGAAAAAAAAACCUAAUUUAGGAUUCAAUUAAAUUGUUAUUGUACGUGGCCUAGAAAAAAAGUUCAUAGUUUGACUUUUAUUUUAAAAUAGCAUAUUCUCCUCGUCCCUUAAAAAUGUGCAUCGUUUUUUUUUUUUUGGUACAAAUUUUAAUAAAUAUUGUAUGAGUGUAUUAUGAGUUGAGAAAUUGAUUCACUUUUAUUAUAGUGUUAUUACAGUGGGAAUAAAAAAUGAAGGAUUUAUGGUGGAUCAUGUGUAUAAAGUUGUGAAUAAAUAUAUGUAUAAAGUUGUGAAUAAAUAUAUGGCAAAUUCCUUCCAUAAAAUUGUGAAUAGUGCCCUUGAAUUAAAUGUAAAUAUAUAUACUCACAUAAUAUAUCGAGCCUGCCAUAAAUUAUGGCUUAGGCUUAUAUCAUGCAUUUGACAUACAUGACGCUAAUUCACUUGAUGAUCACUUAAAUUCUUCUUUCCUUCUUUUAUUUCCCUUUUUCUAAAAAAAAAAUAAUAAGAAAGGCUAAAAUUUAUUGAUUAUAAGAAAGCCAUGAUUCUUGUUGUUCCUAAAAAAAAUUAAAAUAGAGGAGAAGGUGAAAGAAUCUUGAAAAUUGUAAUUGUAAUUGUAAUUUGAAUUAAAUAUGAAAUUUUUUAAAACAAAAGGUCCAAUAUUUUUUCCGGCCACAUUAUAAAAUAAAUAAACUUGAGUCAACUGUGCAUCACUAAAUGUUUUUUUUUUUUUAGUGAGAUUCUGUUUCAUAUUUUACUCACAAUAUUAUACUACAUACUUUAAUUAGUCAAAAUCUUGUCCAUCUAAAUUAUUUCUUAAAAUUAAACUUGAUCAGUAACAAACAUGAUGCCGUCACUUUACAUGCGUGUAUAUAUCUACCUCUCUCUAAAAACCAAAAUUAUUGCAAGAAAUAACAAAUAAAUCUUGCAUUUUUAUAUUUUCCAAUCUUUCUAUUACUACUAUAUUGUCAAAUAUAGAUAUACUUAUGCAUGUAUGAUUAAUGCCUGUGUGUGUAUGAGAGAGAGAGAAGGGUCCACUUGAGGAAGUGGCAUACUACAGAACAAGGUAUGAUCCAUUUGAUAGAUAUAAAAUAGGGUUGAGGCAAUCAGAAUUUCCUCUCAAGCUGGAGAAAUUUUUUCUCCAUCUCUGAAUUUUCAUUCAUUGUUUCAUUGAAUCAAAAAAAGAAAAGAAAAAGAAUUUAUAGGGAAACCAGAUUGAGCUGCAGUCAAAAUGGGAGGAGAUGAUCUCAGUCUUGAAAAGAUCAAGAAUGAAUCUGUUGAUCUGGUAAUUUAUUUUCUCUACCUUUCUUCUUUUCAAUUUGGUAUGAAUAUAUUUCAUUUUCAUAGAAAUGAAGUGGGAAAUUAAUAUUAUAUUUAUCGUCUGCAUGGAAUUGUUUGUUUUCAUAAAUAUUACUACUAAUUUGUAAAUAUCAAAAUUAAUGGUAUUUGUUUGCUUAAUAUCAAGAAGUUGCGCGGUCUUUAAAAUUUCUUUAUUUACUUAAAUAAUUUAUAUCAAAAAAUAAAAUAAAAAAGAAGUUGCACAGCUCUCUCUCUUCUCUACAUAGAACAUAGAUAUUUUUAAUUUAUUUAUGAAUAAUAAAUAAUUUAUUUCUUUUUUCAAAACAACUAUUACUCCAUGAGCAAAGUACAGAUGUAUUCUAACCUAGAAGACCAGAUGAGUUAAUGCGACAUUCUAGCCUAUAUCGCUUAAUAAAAGAAAAUUCUAUUAUCGUAGAUAAAAUAGGGAUAAUAAUAAUUUUUUACUUUAAUACUUUUAUAUUAUAACGUCCCAAAAAAAUGGGACACGUAAAUUAAGAAAAUAUAGAUAAAAUAAAUGACUAGAGAGAUAGAGAGUAGUGUCUCCAAGAACAUACGAGCGAUGCGAACUUUUAUCUUAAACGAUGUCUGGGAUUUAAACCCAUCGCUUCCCCGUUCCCCGAGUAAAAAAUAAAUAAUAAAUAAAAAUUGGCAUUUAACUAAUUUUAUGAGAUUGUCAAAUCUAGUUUGGUAGAGAGAAAUUAGCUCUAUGCAUGCAUGCCUCCAAUACUCAGAGACGGAAUAACUAAAAUAACUAAAAUUUUAAAUAAAAAAAUUAAAUUUAAAAAGAUCGAUUAGGCUCGGCACGACUCGAUUAAAGCUCGAUCGAUAAUUAACCCGAACAGCUCGAUUAAUUAAACGAGCCAAUCUUGAGCAAAACACUGUUUAGUUCGACUCGGCUCGAUUACACUGGUUCAUAUAUUACGUGAAUGCAUGAAUAUGAAGAAAUUUAAACAUAUGUAACAGGAGAAAGUUCCGAUAGAGGAAGUGUUCGAGCAGCUGAAAUGCGGCCGCGAUGGGCUGAGCUCCACCGAAGGAGAAAACAGAGUUCUCAUCUUCGGCCUCAACAAAUUGGAAGAGAAGAAGGUCUCUCCUCUCUCCUCUCUCUCUCUCUCUCUCAUCAUUUAGAAUUAGAAUUGUGAUGUAAUGCAAGCGAUGAAUCGAUGCAGGAAAACAAAUUCCUGAAAUUUCUAGGGUUUAUGUGGAACCCUCUGUCGUGGGUGAUGGAAGCGGCGGCGCUGAUGGCGAUCGUCUUGGCGAACGGGCAGGGGAAGCCGCCGGACUGGCAGGAUUUCGUCGGAAUCGUGUUCCUGCUGGUGAUCAACUCCACCAUCAGUUUCAUCGAGGAGAACAACGCCGGCAACGCCGCGGCGGCGCUGAUGGCGGGGCUGGCCCCGAAGACGAAGGUGCUGAGGGACAGCAAGUGGAGCGAGCAGGAGGCGGCGAUCCUGGUCCCCGGCGACAUCAUCAGCAUCAAGCUCGGCGACAUCAUCCCGGCCGACGCCGCCUCCUCGAGGGCGACCCCCUCAAGGUGGACCAGUCCGCCCUCACCGGCGAGUCCCUCCCCGUCACGAAGCACCCCUACGACGAGGUCUUCUCCGGCUCCACCUGCAAGCAGGGGGAGAUCGAGGCCGUCGUCAUCGCCACCGGCGUCCACACCUUCUUCGGCAAGGCGGCGCACCUCGUCGACAGCACGCACCAGGUCGGCCACUUCCAGAAGGUGCUCACCGCCAUCGGGAACUUCUGCAUCUGCUCCAUCGCCGUCGGGAUGCUGGCGGAGAUCAUAGUUAUGUACCCCAUCCAGCGCCGGAGCUACCGGAACGGCAUCGACAACCUGCUCGUGCUCCUCAUCGGCGGCAUCCCCAUCGCCAUGCCGACGGUGCUGUCCGUCACCAUGGCCAUCGGGUCGCACCGCCUCUCGCAGCAGGGGGCCAUCACCAAGCGGAUGACGGCCAUCGAGGAGCUCGCCGGGAUGAACGUCCUCUGCAGCGACAAGACCGGCACCCUCACGCUCAACAAGCUCACCGUCGAUAAGGCCCUCAUCGAGGUCUUCGCCAAGGGCUGCGACGCCGACCACGUCCUCCUCCUCGCCGCCAGGGCGUCCCGGACGGAAAAUCAGGACGCCAUUGAUGCUGCCAUUGUUGGAACUCUUGCUGAUCCCAAAGAGGUUUCUGCUUCUCUCCUUCACCUCUGUUUUCUGUUUAUGAAUUCAUUUGUGAUUCUGCUCUGUUUCUGCUUCUUCCUUCUGCUCUGUUUCUCUGUUUAUGAAUUUAUUUAUGAUUCUGUCUCUGUUUCUGCUUCUUCCUUUUCUGCUCCUUUUCUGCUCUGUUUCUCUGUUUAUGAAUUAAUUUAUGAUUCUGCUCUGUUUCUGCUUCUUCCUUUUCUGCUCUGUUUCUCUGUUUAUGAAUUCAUUUAUGAUUCUGCUCUGUUUAUGAAUUCAUUUAUGAUUCUGCUCUGUUUCUCUGUUUAUGAAUACAGUGGGAAAUGCUUAAUUUAAUUUGAUUUGAUUAUAGGCGAGAGCUGGUAUAAGGGAGGUGCAUUUCUUCCCUUUCAACCCUGUGGAUAAGAGGACUGCUCUCACAUACAUUGAUAACAACGGGAACUGGCAUCGAGCUAGCAAGGGAGCUCCGGAGCAGAUCCUCACCCUCUGCAACUGCAGGGAAGAUUUCAAGAAGAAGGUUCAUGGCGUCAUCAACAAAUUCGCUGAGCGCGGCCUACGAUCUCUUGCUGUUGCGAGACAGGUUCUUCAAUCAAACUCACCUCCUCCUACUCGUCUCUUUGAUUGUAUGAAAUCAUUCAUAAAUGGUUGCUGCUAUUUUUCAGCAAGUGCCGGAGAAAUCCAAGGAAAGCCCCGGUGGUCCGUGGGAGUUUGUGGGGCUCUUGUCACUCUUCGAUCCUCCCAGGCACGACAGUGCAGAGACCAUCCGUAGAGCUCUCCACCUUGGCGUGAACGUGAAGAUGAUCACUGGUUGGUUACCCUCUACUAAUGUGUUGUUGGUUUGAGAAAAAUGAUGAUGAUGACGAUGAUGAUGAUAUGUCUAUGGUGCACGGUGUAGGUGAUCAGCUGGCCAUUGCUAAAGAGACGGGGCGCAGGCUUGGAAUGGGAGUGAACAUGUACCCCUCGGCUUCUCUGUUAGGGCAACACAAAGACGAGUCCAUAGCUGGACUUCCUAUCGAGGAGCUGAUCGAGAAGGCUGAUGGUUUUGCUGGGGUGUUUCCAGGUGAUCAGUUGUUAUAUGUUGUUGUGUUGAUGGAAAGAAUCAAUCAUCGGAGCUUAUUUUCAUGUUUUUUUGCUUAAAAUGCAGAGCACAAGUAUGAGAUAGUGAAGAAGUUGCAGGAGAGGAAGCACAUUGUUGGAAUGACAGGAGAUGGUGUGAACGACGCCCCUGCUCUGAAGAAGGCCGAUAUUGGUAUUGCCGUUGCAGACGCCACGGAUGCAGCCAGGGGCGCCUCUGAUAUCGUGCUCACCGAGCCGGGCCUCAGUGUCAUCAUCAGUGCAGUCUUGACGAGUAGAGCUAUCUUCCAGAGAAUGAAGAACUACACGGUUGGUUUUCAGACCUCUCAUCUUCUCUUUCAUGUGAAUGUUAUCAUCUGAUGCCUGUGUUUUUUUUUCUCUUUCUUUGACAGAUAUAUGCAGUUUCCAUCACCAUUCGUAUAGUGGUAACUUUUGCUUUUUAUGUUUUUGAUUCUCAUCAUAUAUAUGUCUCUGUAUAGAAGUUAGCUUGAUAUGUAAUUUCUGUGUGUGCAGUUUGGUUUCAUGCUCAUUUCUUUGAUCUGGAGGUUCGACUUCUCCCCCUUCAUGGUUUUGAUCAUUGCAAUCUUGAACGACGGUAAUGAGUUAUGAAUCUGUGGUGUCUUGAUUUGAUUCCCUUGAGCUGUGUAUGGAGAUUAAUUUCUGUAUUUUUCAGGUACAAUUAUGACUAUUUCAAAGGAUAGAGUGAAGCCAUCUCCAUUGCCAGAUAGCUGGAAGUUGAAGGAGAUCUUUGCCACCGGCGUUGCACUCGGAGGCUACCUCGCGUUGAUGACCGUCAUCUUCUUCUGGUUGAUGCACGAAACCCACUUCUUCCCCGUAAGAAAGUUCGCCUUGUUUCUCCGUAUAUUAGUAGAAAUAUACUCCAUCCUCCGUCCCAUUAAAAGUGGUCUGUAUUCCAUUUUGGGUCGUCCCAUUAUAAGUGGUCUGUUUCUAUAAAUGAAAAAAGAUAACCCUUAAAAAAGUGUAGGUCCACCAAUUUACACCUUCUGCUUAAUUCAUGUGCUGAAAAGUUUUGAGUCACUUAUAGUGGGACGGAGGGAGUACAUGAUAUACACCUGAAUCUAUCUGAUCAAACCAAACCACAGGAAAAAUUUGGAGUGAAAAACAUAAAAGACAGUGAAGCUGAGAUGAUGUCUGCUCUCUACCUGCAAGUGAGCAUUGUGAGCCAGGCCCUGAUCUUCGUGACGAGAUCGCGCAGCUGGUCCUACGUGGAGCGCCCGGGGAUGCUCCUCAUGAGCGCCUUCCUCGUUGCGCAGCUGGUGGCGACCCUGAUCGCUGUGUACGCGGACUGGUCGUUUGCAAGGGUGAAGGGGUGCGGGUGGGGGUGGGCUGGCGUGAUCUGGAUAUACAGCGCCGUGUUCUACGUGCCGCUCGACCUCAUGAAGUUCGCCAUCCGCUACAUCUUGAGCGGGAGGGCGUGGCAGAACUUGUACGAGAACAAGGUACGUUUGGCACUGGCAACGGCGCCUACUACAAAAAUACGCAUACAUAACACCUCAUACAUAACAACAGUUUUUUUUUUUAUUUUUUUGAUAAAAGACAACGGUUUUACAGAACUCCGUUAUGACUUACAAACUGUUGUGUUUUAUUGGAACCAAAAAAACAGACUGCUUUCACCUCCAAGAAGGAUUUUGGCAAGGAGGAGAGGGAGGCGCAGUGGGCUCAUGCGCAGAGGACUCUUCAUGGUCUUAACCAACCCCAAGAAGAUGCCAACAACGUCUUCAACGACAAGAGCAACUACAGAGAGCUCUCUGAGAUAGCCGAGCAGGCCAAGAAACGCGCUGAGAUUGCAAGGCUGCGCGAGCUGCACACGCUCAAGGGGCACGUUGAGUCGGUCGUGAAGCUCAAGGGGCUCGACAUCGAGACGAUACAGCAGCACUACACUGUCUGAGGGAGUGCCUCAACACAUGAUUUUGGAGAGCAACCAAGAAUGAGGAUGCUUACUCUAGCUAGUUAUGGAUAAGAGAUCUUCCUUUUAAGAGGAAUUCAGACAUAUGCUAUGAAUCCUUUUUUUUUUUUUUCUUCUGUAAGUUAUAUCAGCAAAAAACUUUUGUCUGAUGUUUGGACUCCUAUGAUGAGUUUAAUGAUAUGUUGUUUUUUGCAACACAGUUUUAUACUUAGUUUUUGUGUUUUUGUGUCUGCUGUAUAAUUUCUUACAUCUCUAAGAUGGCCAUAAAAUCUGAAUUUGAACUAUAAAUUUGAAUAUUGAGGUUCAGUUUUUGAAAGUCGGAUUUUUUAAAUUUUUAUGGUUUCCAUUUAUAUAUUUUAUAUAAUAUGACUUAAUAUAUAUAUUCGAUUCGAUUCCCCGAACCUAGUCAGAUUGAAAUCAUGCAACCACUAUUUAUUAAAAUUGCUUGAAUUUGAGAAGUUAGAAAAUUGUUCAAAUAAAUAUGGAAUUUGCCUACAUAAAUUUUGGAAACAUAUUCAAGUGAUAUCAAAUCGAAAAAUACAAUGUGAAACAGCUUAAAGAUUGCAAUUUGAUCAAAUUAAUGCGGAGAUUUAUUUAAAUAAUGAAACAACACUACGGUUGUAUACUUUAUAAUUGCCAAAACAUUUAAACCAAAUUUCUAUUAUGUUAAUUAUUUAAAUACAUAGUGUUACAUUUUUUUUUUCUGUUUUAUUUAAUUUUGAUGUUCGGUGCAUCUAAUCGCAACCUUUAUUUAAAAAAGAAAAUGGGAAUUCAUUUAUAGUCAAAAAGAUUUAUUUGAUUAGUUUAUAUUAUAACACUUUUUUGAACUUCCAACUUUUAGAUUUUAUUUUAUAAUUCUAGAUUAAUUGCUGCAAUAUUCUCAAGUGACAAUUCUCACAAAUUGAUCGUGUAGACAUUUCAUUUUUCAAUUUUCAUUAUUUCUCAAGUGCCAAGUGCCCAAGUUUUUAAAAAUUUGUAUUACAAGAUUCAAAGUCAAUUAAUUGAUCGACUCAAUAAUUCACAUAGUAAAAUAAAAUGAGGUAGUUAAGCUUUAAAGAUUAAUAAAUAAUUAAAAAGUCUGUAUGGUUUAAUCCAUGACUAUCAAAAUAGUAAUGCUGAGAUUCAUAGUUUAGUGACUAAGCUGUCAUAAUUAAUUAUGAAACUAAUUUACAUUUGUUUGUUAAAAUUGAUUUAAAAAUACAUACCAUUAAAAAUGCCUUUUUGGUUAAUUAAGAUUUUUUNUUUCUUCCCUUUUUUCCUUUUUUAAAUCGCGGGAGUGAAAAAUUGAAAAUCUCAAACACUGAAACAAAAGCCCUAAAAUCCACGAACCCUCAAAAACCCUAACCCGCCCCCUUUCAAAAAUUCCUGUAGUUUUUUUCUCUCCACACACCGCCACCAUUAAUCCUCCAUGAAGAAGAGAAGUCGGGAGCCCAAGCCCUUGAUUCCAGCUCUCGCCGCCGCCACCGGC
rnacentral:lncRNA from 1 species